UACGGAGGGUGCAAGCGUUAUCCGGAUUCACUGGGUUUAAAGGGUGCGUAGGUGGGGUGGUAAGUCAGUGGUGAAAUCUCCGAGCUUAACUUGGAAACUGCCAUUGAUACUAUCAUUCUUGAAUAUUGUGGAGGUCAGCGGAAUAUGUCAUGUAGCGGUGAAAUGCUUAGAUAUGAACAUAGAACACCAAUUGCGAAGGCAGCUGGCUACACAUAUAUUGACACUGAGGCACGAAAGCGUGGGGAUCAAACAGG
rnacentral:rRNA from 1 species